rnacentral:tRNA from 2 species
ACCCAUGUGGUGGAAUUGGUAGACACGCUACCUUGAGGUGGUAGUGGCGAAAGCCUUGGGAGUUCGAGUCUCCCCGUGGGUACCA